rnacentral:rRNA from 1 species
GACGAACGCUGGCGGCGUGCUUAACACAUGCAAGUCGAACGGAAAGGCGCUACUUUUGCGGGGUUCUCGAUUGCCGAACGGGUGAGUAACACGCGUGUAACCCCCCCUUGUCUUUGGGAGAACUUUACGAAACUGGGUCUAAUACCGGAUAGGAUCUUCUGCUGCACGGUGGGGGUUGGAAAGUUUCGGCGGUGGGGGCACGACUCGCGGCUUAUCAGCUGCUUGGGGGGGUAGUGGCAUACCAAGGUUUUGACGGGUAGGCGGCCUGAGAGGGUGACCGGCCACAUGGGUACUGCGGUACGGCGCAGUCGCCAAUGGUCGGCAGUAGGGGGGAAUCUUGCGCAAUGGGCGGGAGCCUGAUGCAGCGGCCUUGCGUGCGGGAUGACCUCCUUCUGGUUAUAAACCGCUUUGGCCGGAGACGAGGCGUGCGUGACGGUACUUGGUAAGAAAGCACCGGCUAACUACGUG